UUGAGGACCAGGGUUGGGAAACACUGCUCUAGAACACACCCCCAGGAAUCUCGUGGAUAAAAGGAUGUGGAUCAUGUCCUGCUCCCUCCAGCCAUCGCAUCUAGAUAUCACCUAACCAACCAGGACAGAGGAACUUACCAAACAGACAGAAAAAAAUGGAAACUGGUCAGACUCUCAGAGCGCCAAGUGCUAACUCUGCUGCUUCAUCCUACUUUGGCUGGUCCGUUUUUAACACUGUGUGCUGCUGUCUGCCUCUUGGGGUUGCUGCUCUUAUUUAUUCUAACAAGGUAACAGAAGCCAUUGCUGCUGGAGACACAGUUACUGCUGCAAAAGCAUCCAGGACAGCCAAGAUCUUGAACAUAUUCUCCACUGUCUUUGCACUAAUCGUCAUCAUCACUGUGAUAAUUGUAAAUCUCAUUAUUUUCUUAAGUUGAUCAAGAACUGAUUAACUUGAUGGUCAUGCUUAGGGUAAAGCAUAACCUAAGCAUAACUUUCCUUCUCUUUUUACAACCACAGCAAAAUUUAAUAAACUGAUGAGUUGAAAGA